rfam:Brachypodium distachyon strain Bd21 chromosome 1, whole genome shotgun sequence.
UCUUGGCUUAGUUAGGAGGCGCACACUUAAUGAGCAUUGCAUGCUCAUCCAGGCCUUUUGGGGGGCAGUCAUCUGUAUUAACUAGAUGUGCUCCCCAAGCAGCCUGAGAUAUUU